AACGUCGCCGCCAACCCCACCCCUAGGGGCGGGAAGUUGGGGGCGGACUCUGGCCUCCCGUGCGCCUCGGCGCGCGGAUGGCCUAAAUUUCAGCUCCUGGCGAGGAUCGCCACGACAAGCGGUGGUUUUUUGAACUAAGGACCUCGGGUGUUGUCGUGCGGCCUCCCGGAGGGAACGGACCCUGUGCGCUCGCGCACCAUCCUA
rnacentral:misc_RNA from 1 species